rnacentral:rRNA from 1 species
AGAACGAACGCUGGCGGCAGGCUUAACACAUGCAAGUCGAACGCCCCGCAAGGGGAGUGGCAGACGGGUGAGUAACACGUGGGAACAUGCCCAAAGGUACGGAAUAUCCCCGGGAAACUGGGAGCAAUACCGUAUGUGCCCGAAAGGGGAAAGAUUUAUCGCCUUUGGAUUGGCCCGCGUCGGAUUAGCUAGUUGGUGGGGUAAAAGCCUACCAAGGCGACGAUCCGUAGCUGGUCUGAGAGGACGACCAGCCACACUGGGACUGAGACACGGCCCAGACUCCUACGGAGGCAGCAGUGGGGAAUCUUGGACAAUGGGCGCAAGCCUGAUCCAGCCAUGCCGCGUGGAUGAUGAAGGCCCUAGGGUUGUAAAAUCCUUCGUUGGGGACGAUAAUGACGGUACCCAAAGAAGAAAGCUCCGGCUAACUUCGUGCCAAGCAGCCGC